UAAACACAGAGAACAACGGCUGACACCAAUCAGAUUGGUUGCUUUGUACAUCUACUCGUCAGCACUGAAUGGAUUUCAGUUAUAAAAGUCGGGUCAUGUUUUUCUCAACUUCCAUUCCAUCUGCUUUAUGACUCUAUGAAAGUCAGAAUGAAGACUUCCCUCGUACUCUGCACCAUUCUACUCACACUGGCUAAUGCUCAUGUCAUAACGAAAGAACUUUUAAUAGGGCCUUGCCACAGUAAAUACGAGGAAUGCAUGGCACCCCAAGACUGGCCUGCUUUGGGAGUGAGGAAGAACUGCAGAGAAAUGUGCGAUCUUAUUCAUAAAUAUGGGACUUGUGAGAUAUCUCAUUGUGGCCCUUUAAUGUCCUUCCAAUGCUCCUGCUUCUGACACAGAAAACAAACUGACAAUGAACAGAUACAUUUUAUUUUUCACUAAUACCAAAAACAACGUAAUAAUUCAUUUGUAUAAGAAUUUUAAAAAUAUCGGAAUGAUGUUUGUUAAAAUAAAAACAGAUUCUAUCGAUUGGACUUAAUAACAUAAAUAAAAUAAAAUUAGUAGCUACAAUC